rnacentral:rRNA from 1 species
GACGAACGCUGGCGGCGUGCCUAAUACAUGCAAGUAGAACGCUGAAGGAGGAGCUUGCUUCUCUGGAUGAGUUGCGAACGGGUGAGUAACGCGUAGGUAACCUGCCUGGUAGCGGGGGAUAACUAUUGGAAACGAUAGCUAAUACCGCAUAAGAGUAGAUGUUGCAUGACAUUUGCUUAAAAGGUGCAAUUGCAUCACUACCAGAUGGACCUGCGUUGUAUUAGCUAGUUGGUGAGGUAACGGCUCACCAAGGCGACGAUACAUAGCCGACCUGGGAGGGUGAUCGGCCACACUGGGACUGAGACACGGCCCAGACUCCUACGGGAGGCAGCAGUAGGGAAUCUUCGGCAAUGGACGGAAGUCUGACCGAGCAACGCCGCGUGAGUGAAGAAGGUUUUCGGAUCGUAAAGCUCUGUUGUAAGAGAAGAACGAGUGUGAGAGUGGAAAGUUCACACUGUGACGGUAUCUUACCAGAAAGGGACGGCUAACUACGUG